rnacentral:lncRNA from 1 species
GGGCUAGGAAGAGGAAACGAAUCAUCUCAUAUUCAAUCUCCAUCUCCAUCCCUAUCUUUCCUGCUCCCUCUCUGUGUUGUCUCUCUGAGACUGUCCCAUCCUCAUGGCUGUUAGCAAGUCCAUGCUGUGUGUUGUUCUUAUUCUCAUUAUCCUCGGGGUGGCUUUCACUGCUGAGGGCAGACCUCUGAAGGAAGACAAGACCAAGACCAAGACCAAGACCAGUAUGUGCAGCAGAUGCUGGACACAGAGUGACAUGAGUUCCAAAGGAACGGUGGAAGGCACCAUUGCACCCUCUGAAGAGAAUGGCAAUGGCAGCGGACGGUUGGUGGGCAACGACGAUGUUCGACCUACAAACCCAGGACACAGCCCCGGCGUGGGCCACUAAUCUGGCUCGAUCGAUCCAACGUGUGUGAUUUAAGAUGCUUGGUUUCUCAUCUUUCGUAUAUAAGUUUCAUCAUCAUCAUCAUCAUCAUCAUCAUUUAUCUCCUUCUAAUUAUUGUAUUGUGUUCAUCUGCGUUUAGAUCAGGUUUGGCUUUUCCUUAUCGCACUGUAUUACUUUUGUUUCACCGCAAUUUCAUUCAGUCCGAACGAUUGUUGUCUGAAGAAACACUAUCGAUGAUUGUGGUUAUGAAAGCUCGAGUUUAUUGUGUUUUGGCAUUUAAACGUCCCACGUAUCAGUUUCCGCGCAUUCUUUAUGCAUGCAUGCAUGCAUGCAUGCGCAGCACACGUCGAGUUGCACGUCUCACGUACCAGCAGUUCUCAUCACAAGAGACGAUUCUGCUUACUUGAAUACUCCUUUUGCACAUAUCUAUAUAUAAACCCUCGAAGCUUAUGCACCGGUAAAUUAGAUUUGGUCGCGCCUGAGCAGAUUCCGAUGCUCCACCUAUGUUUGUAAGCCUCCCAACAUACAUGUUGUGUGUGCACUGGAUUCAAUCUUGUUGUUGUAUGCUACAUUGCCAUAUGGAUCCUUUGACUGAAGUCUGAUCACCACGGGACUUCAGUGAACUGCUGAUCUCUCUCUCUCUCUCUCUCUCUCUCUCUCUCUCUCUCUCUCUCUCUCACACACACACACACACACACGCACUCACGCACGCAUAUAAGCCUUCAUCUGACAGAAUUAAUGGGCAUGGCCUGCAAGUCACCUGAUGACUGCAAAGAAUCGAGUUGAACGCAUCGGAGACUUGUUCAGUGAAAUGUUUGUACAAUUCCUAUAAAAAUAACUACACGUAACUUAGAAUUUGAUGUUGUUCCAGUGCAUGGCAUGAUCUACAGUGACCAUCAGGCUCCGGCCAUUUAACUUUAUAGUUGCAAGUUCCUGGAGACAGGGAACCAACCAGCUGACAGGAUCUCUCAGAUCCCAUCUCAUGCUCUUCCAACUCAAUUAUUUUAUGACUUCUCUUAACUGUUAACAUUCUCUGCCCCACCAAAGCUCACUUUCUCAGCUUUGUUCUUUAGAACAUGUAUUUUCUUUCUCUAUAGAUAAAUACUUUUUUGUGAGACAAACUUGAGUUGGAGUUGGCAUUUGGCACGUGUUUUGUUUCUAUUCCUAUUACUUUAGAGUUCCAAACCAUGCGCAAAGUACAUGAAAUAUAUAUAUAUAUAUAUAUAUACAUAUAUAUACAUAUAUAUAUAUAGAACCAAUGGGUUCCUUGUCAUCCUCUAUGGUUGUUAGGGGGCGCGGAUGCUCUAUAGUAAGACGGUGUAUGUUGUCCUGACAGUUCGCCUGAGUGCGGCCAGCAGUACACUCCAAUGUGGUGCCCAAACUUCGAUACGAUGGUAUGCAUUAUAUUAAGAGAUGCAUGCACGGGUAUGUAUUACAUUGAGAGACGCAAAGCAACUUUACAGAUGAAAUGUUGGACUGCCUUUUGUUGUGGAUCUCAAAGGAAUAUGCGACGGAUGUCUGCUAAGCGAAUUGUCCCAUCUAAAAGCUUUUAAGAGUUAGCGAUGCUCUUGUUCUUGUUGUCGCUUGGAAACGUCGAAGAGUCAGCGAUGGAGGAGGUGAUACCCAUGGCAGCAUCUGCACCACCACGUUCGUCUCCUCUGCAUCGAGACCCACUGUCAUCACGCAGUACCAUAAAUCCGUCGCAUCUUUCUUCUCUUGUCGGUGGACAGCUCGAUGGACCGGCGGCGGCGAACUCUGUCCUUGGAGCUGCCUAAACGAGAUGGUGGUGGUGGUGGUAGCACAGUUCUCUCCGUGUUCAUUUGAGAUUACAGGCAGCUCGAUCUCUUAUCAUCAUCAUAUAACAAAGAGAGGAAAAAACUUAACCAAACUGCAAAUUGGGCAUCCAAUAUCCGAAAAAUACGAGACAUGCAAGAACCAGAUCUGACACACCACCUCAUGGUUCUAUCAUGUGAUGAGAUUUAUAAGAUGAAAGCUAUACAAUCCAAGAUAAGUCUAUAUUCCUGCAUUAUCCAAAAUGUCCAAAAGUAUCUUUACUAAUGCAUAUUUGCAUAUAAAACCUUGUAAAUUUCCAAAGUUCUCUCAAUGCAUUCCAAGAGUUACAGUUAGAUGCAAUCUGAUAAAUCUGGCUAAUCACUGCAAGUUAAUGAGUUCAUACACACACAUCGAUCACGAAUGAAUAAGAACUCGGCUCGGCGGCACUGCCUGAGGUUUAGUUUCUCAGGGUAUAGAUAGAAAGCUAAUGCAAGAGAAAGAGUAAAAGAGGUGAAAUUAGUAAAUCUGAAACAUAUAUAGCACACAAGAAAACCAUUUUCAUUUAAUUUGAGAUCAACCAGAUGUAGUUAAUAUUAGAAACAGCACCUCUUUUUCCCCCCCCCCCCUUCUAGGCUAGCGGGAUAACACAUAGCAUCUUUGGUGGAGAAGAUCCAUUCUACUGAAACUUAAAAGAGUUAACCAAGUACUAACAUGCCACCAACUGCAGCGUUGAAACUCAUGAUCGAAUCGUGAAACAAGAUUAUGGACAACAGAUUUGGAAUGAUCUGAUUCUCCACAACUAUGGGAUCGGUAAGACAUCAACAUGCAGCAGCAGUCUUUGGUGGUGAGGACCCUUUCCCCCCAUUAACUUGCAUUCAUCUGCUACCAUCUGCACACAAUCUGAAAAGCACAUCCACCAGAACAAUUUGGUAGCCCAAUCUUAAAUCUAAACCAGCGCCUUACCCGACGGCUCGCUAGUCAUCCAUCCAAACCAAACUAAUGGCAGGUCAAUCAAACAAAGGGAGGAUACAGGAGGCAUAAAUAAUAUCUACCGUGCCUUCGCCAGGGAUUGGACUGAUCGACUAGACACACCAUGCAACAGCUUUACAAAUCCUAGAAAACUUAGCUUCCCGUCAGUGUGCCUUAUCCAAUCAUGUAGAACAGCAUGUACAGGUACAGAAGGGCCGAGGCCUAGUUCCUGCAAUUAAAAUAUGAAAAAGAGGGGAGAUUUCUGAUUAGGAUGCCAACUCCAACACAGAAGCCAAGCAAAUAACCUUCGAAAAAUAAAACAACUAGCACACGGUAUCCGAAAAUAUACGUCAAGCAAAACCAACCAUCCUCAUUUCUCAAACCUUACCACUUGGGAUAAAUGACAACAUUGCCCAACUAUUAGCGUAUGCAACAUUGUGCUUUCUGUAUGUAUUCAUGAUAUAUGUGGUUAAUAUGGAUAUGCAUGCAGACAAAAACAACUAUGUGGGGUCAUAUAAGCAAAAAACCUUAUAUUUCAGAGCUACAGAUUUAAAUUACAUGGCACAACCCUAUGCUGGUCAGUGACAAGCAUGAUGUGCCAACAUAGGCAAACUGACCACCAAAUGGGAACGAAUGCAAGUUCUGCCAGCUCAACACCUCAAUCAACUUUGGACUAGGUAGGUUUCAAGUUUCAACUAAAUCCUGCAACAGUUAUUUAAUGCCUUCAAGAUCUCAACACAUCCAUCAAUUGAUAAUUCAUACUAUAUCACAUGCAAAAGAGAACAUUAUGCAUACCGAGGCAAGUUCUUCGAUUACAAUAGCCCGAUUGCCGUCCUUCUCAAAAAGCUCAUAAGCACAACGGGCAUGUUGCUCCCAUCUAUCCAGACCUUCAAGCUGAUGAACACUUAAUGUAGCUGCACAGAACUCAUCAAAAUCCAUUCUUCUGUAUUGAAGAGCACUGAGCUGGCAAAACAAUAUACAGAUUUCCACAGAGUACACAAACUAAUAAGUUCAAUGUUAAAUAAGUAAAAAAGGCACUAGGCAAAAGAUCUGCACAUUACCGAAAGAAGAAAUUCCUGAACGCGUGAUUCCUUCAUUGCAUCAGUUGCAUUUUUCAUCAAGGCCUGAUCAAGAAAUAAAAUUCAGCAUAAAAGAACAACUAAAUAUCCAAUCUUCUUCAGUUAAUUUCUCUAAAGAAAUGAGUACAUAAAACUAACCAACUUGAUAUUUUCAAGAGUUAUGCACCCAUUUUUGUUAGGCUCUAAUAGAGAAAAUUGUCCCUUGAGAUAAAAUAAUUCAUCUACAGUCAAUGUCUUUGACAAAGCCUGCAACAUUCAUAAAAAGAUUUAAUCAUAUACCUUACAUUAUCAGUUGUAUAGAAGCAAAACUGAAAUUUACAGUGCACUCAAUUGAGGCCGAAACUCAAUUUUACAGAUUUUAGUUAAGAAUUCUAGCAUUUGGGGUCUAUCUUGAAGCUUAAUAUGACGACAGGUAUUGCAAACCUUAAUCGUGAUCAUCAUACAUACCAAUAAUUUUCAAUCUAGUUAACUGGAAAUUGGAUACUUGUUACCUAGAAACCAACACACAAAUAAACAAAACUUCAAACUGGAAAGUAUACUGGAUAACCUUAAAAAGGAAGUCACACUACAUUCGACCAUGGAACUAAACAUCAGCCAAUUCCAAGUACUUGGAUUUUUAUUGAAUGCAACAGGGCAAUUGAAGUCGUUAAAAAGCACUUCAUGCAUUUAGAAUCACAUAUAAGUUGAAUGAUAUAAAUGAAAUUCAUGAUAGCACCCACCCUUAAAGCAGCCUUACGGAGAGAUGACGAACGUAGAUAAGCUUUAAUUAGUCGAAAUAUAAGGAUAUCUAGUGGAACUUUGAUAUCAUUGUAAUUUCUAGUCCACGGAUGACCUGCAAACAGGAAGCAGUUAGUUCUUUGGAGAAACGACAUAAUUAAACAGAAUCCAUGAGGAUGCUCACAUAGAGCUUGAGAAGCCGUCAUUCUUCUUCGUGGAUCCUUACUUAACAAGCGCUUCACAAAAUCUUUGGCCUCGGGGGAGAGAGAAGGCCAAGGAAGUUCUGUAAAACUUGGAUCAGCUUUUAAUACUGCCCUAAAGAUACCAGACUCUGUUCGAGCCCAAAAUGGGCGACUGCCACAUAGAAGAAUAUAUGCAAUUACGCCAAUACUCCACACAUCUGCUUCUGUGCUGUAAGAUCUAUGCAAAACUUCGGGUGCAACAUAAUAUGCACUACCAACAAUGUCAUUCAACCUUUCAUCUAAAGAUCACAAAUGCCAAAUUUUUAGAAACAGUCUAGAUAUAGAGAUUAGACGGGCAAUUGAGAUAUAACUAACAAUUGAAACUGCUAGCCAGGAAACAUAUAACAGACAACAUGAACUAACCUGGUUUUACAAAGUCUGAUAAGCCAAAAUCUAUAGCCUUCAGCUGGGAAUUCUCAUCCUUGGAAGUAAAAAGAAAAUUCUGAGGAAAAGAAAGCAACCACUAUUUAUUAAAAAACACAUUAUUUAGCCAAAUAUUAAAAAAAGAUAAACCAUGACCAUUUAGGGUGAAUAAAACAACCAUAAAUAGACAUCUCAAUAGACCUGCCAGGUAAACAAAAAUUAAAACAAAUUGGUGAGGAAAGUGUAUAUUAAGUCUCACCACAAAUAAGCACAGGUAUCGCAGCAAGGAAGACAGAUAAUAUGUAAACUAAGUAGAAGCUUCAAGUAAAUAAAAAGGCCUGACAAGGAUAUUAGGUAAUUACAGAAUUUAGGUUCCUUUCGUAAUGCCCACAGAAGAUAAAUACAAUAAAAAGGCAACUUGGUUUUACUAUUCCCAAGACACCUGCAAUACAAGCUUUCACGAGGCAAUGUUUUGACCCUAGUUUAAUCAGAUGCAAAUUUCAGCUAGACCUGGAAAAAAUAGAGGUAUAGAUCGUCCAACUUAAGCAAUAGACAAUAGUACCUUGAAAAGGAACUAAUCCGCUAUCAAAAUUGAGAAACCAAUUCUGCUGUGUAAAUUUAGCGGAUACAAAAUUCAAAGCUGAAGGAUAUUAUUCCUAGAUAGUGGUAAUCUCUUGCAGCUAUACUUGUACCACUUUGCUAAUUACUUCUAUCUACAAAUCUAGCUAUCUGCAAGACUGCAACUAACUUAUAUAUAUGCAUUGAAAAAAAAAAUAGUUAGCAGAUACUAGCAAUAUGAACAUUAAAGCAAUAGUAAGUAAUAAAAACACAAUAACCUUUACUACCAAAAAGAAAGCUUGAGAAGAUAGCUCAUCAGAUUACUGUGAAACUCAUAAAGAAUGAUUCAAAGACACCAUGGAAGCAAUAGUCACUCCAGUUACACACAUUAUCAAGAAAAUACAACAAUACAUCAAAAUAAAUGGAAAGAAGAUCUCCUAACUGGCCAUAAUAUUAAGAAAGGUGAGAAAUUUAUUAACCUUCAUGCAAGGUCAAAAAAAAAAAAGUCAUGGCUAGUUAAACUAGAAAUGCUGCAAACUUAAACAACUACAGACAGAAGUUUCAAGUCGUAGAGACAAAAAAAAAAAAAGACAUGAAGUACAUUAUUACUAGGGUACACAGAAAAAGUGCUUGUUAACCAUCUAAUUCAUGUUCCUUUAAUCAAUAACCACACAUCCCUAACCCUAAAAAGAACAUUAUUACAGUUCCACAGAAAGCUAACACAGAGCAGAUCUGAGACUCAUAAUAAGAUCCAAAAAGUCCUGUGCCUUCAAGUAUAAUGUCCAUCGACAAUAUAAUCAUAUAAUAAUCUACCUAAAAAUCACCAUCAAAGGCCAUAAGAUUUCCCUGACUCAUUACCUCCGGUUUAAGAUCACGGUGAACCACUCCUUGGAGAUGGCAGAAUGCAACAACAUUCAGUAUCUGUACCAUGACAGCCUUUGCAUCAUCUUCCGAGUAUUUUCCACCCCUUCUCGAUAAAGAAGGCAUAUACAUAAGCUAUCAUAAGAUCUGAGGCAAAGCCGAAAACAAUACAUCUACAAACAAAUAGCAAAUAUGUGGAUAUAGGAAUAUUUUAAAUCAAACUGGCCCAUAAAGUACCUCGAAAGAAUUCUAUCUAGCAGCUCUCCUCCUUCGCAUAACCUGAAAUAAGAUAGGUAAGCCACCAAGAUCCUUAAUCAGUAAUAAUUUAAUGGUUAUAAUUACAUUUAAAGAUGGCAUUUAUAUGUCACAUGCUUGUCCAACCAAACAAUACUACUACAGAUCAACAUGGUGCAGAAUACGAGCAAAGGAGAACGUCUAUGAGAAACUAGGGGCAGCACCAACAAGAACCUAAAGAAAGAAUACAUUUUUAAUCCAACAGACCUCAAUUUCAACCCUCAAUUUUAACAAAUCGUGCUGCUAGAGAGAAAAAUUUAACAAGAAAUUCUUGUGCAAGAAGAGUGAGAAACAAUUGCUAAAUAAUUUUAGUCUUCAAAAACGUACUAUGAUACUAUGAUGCUGAAAUUAACCAAUAAAGGAGCAUCAAACCACAGUAAAAGCAUAGUUCCAAAAUACUAUUAUAGCAUCAACAUACCAGUGGGUACCUUUAAACUUUUAUUAGGUUUUUGUAUAUUUUAAUGUGAGUUCAAGAAGAAUCCACAAAAAUGGACAGUUCCACUUGCUUGUCACAUGUGUUGAACAUAUCACAUUAUAGAAAAAUAUUAAAUAGUAAAUACUUCCUUAAAGUAUCCAGUUUGUUGAUUUAGAGGGAGUACUUUGUAAAUUCCUCUGGAGGAAACUUUGAAUGUCUAAAAUAUUGAUUUUUUGCUUACGAUACAGAUGAUAGAUAUUUACAUAUUAUUUGUAUAAAGCAUUAGAAAAUGAUUAAAUAAAAUUAUGGCCUUACUUCAUUUAUCAUAACAUUUUGCUAUCUCUUAUAUGAUUUUUUUCUAUUCGUGAAGAGAGUUUAGGGAUGCUAAUGUUAUUAUUUACAUAAUAUGUGACUCCAUUCUAGCAUUAUUAAUGAAUAUCAAACUGCCACAUAUACAAGAUCAUAUAUUUAAAAAAACUAUCACCAUAUCCAUGCAUCAUUGUGUCCCUUUUUUAAAGGUUUGACAUAUCAACAUAUCCAAACCUAUUGUAUCAGCAUCCAUAUCUGAUUACUUGCUUCACAACAGAAAUUUUCUUAUUAAUAUUUAACAAAAGAUGGAUAGCAUAUGCAUUUUGGGAUUUCCAACAUGUAUAUGCAAAUAGGGAUCAAGCUGAAGAUCACAUUGAAUUCAGAAACUGCAUAUGAAUAAAAUAUAGAAAAUCUUGGAACUAUCUACUUUUGAAAAAGGAAACAAGAUUCAAACUGACUGGUUCACCACUUGUGAUCAUAUUCACAUUAAUAACAAAUAUUAAAAUAGCAAUCACUAUAUACCAGCAGAAAAUAACAUGCACUUGAUAGAUAACAAUAAACUGUAAUAUUAAUGUACUAAUAGCUUACUCCAUUAUUAUGUAAACAUUGUCAUUAUCUUCAUAGGCAUCAUAAAAAUGGACUAGGUUGUUAUGCCCUGUCAAGGCUCUUAAAAUCUUCACCUCUCUUCUGACAUCCUCAAUAGCUAUGGCAGUAGUCAUCUGUCAAAAGUAAAGUGCUAAAAUGAAGUCCAAAUAUAGAAAAAUUUUGUUACAACAAAGCAAAGAGGCCAGCAAGCUGCACUGUCUGAUUUACAACCAGAAGUGCAUCACAUGCAGACUAACAGUGAUAAAAAAUAUCCACGACAAGUAUGAAGAAAGAAAUAAAAGAUGUCAAAGAAGGAAAUUAUAAAACUAGAAAUGCACCUGAAUAAAGUAAUAAGGCCUCAGUUUUGUGCAAAGCGCCAAAAUGUUAUUUUACUUCCAACUAUGAUUAAUAAUGAACAAUACAUUUAUGCUAAGAUGGCAUUAUGUUUACUGCAUUUGAAAUUAACAAUACAACUUAGUGACAACGUAAAAGAGAGCAACCUAAAAGGGGCAACUGAACCAUAUAGUUUUGCUUUAAUGGAAGUUACAGCAAAGCCUAAGCUAUUGAUUGGAUUUUGUAAACUACAAAUUGGGCUUUUGUUGAUUUACAUGCAUAUAGAAAAUAUUUAACAUCAAGAAUCAGUUUUGAACUAGUCCUUACCAAAUUUUAUCAGUCAAGCAAACAAGACUGCAGGUGCACAUAAGACAACAAAAUAAGCAUGACCGGCCUAGAAAAUAGUAUACUUCAGGUCCCCUAUCCAGUUCAAUACUAAUUAUCAACUAAAUGAAGUAUGGAACAAGUUCAGCAACUUUAAAAUCAUAAAGAUCCUACUUGAAAAUGUAUGAUUCAGAUGCACCGCAUCGAAUAAAAUGCUAGGGCAUCUUUCUGUGUAGAAUCAAUAAAUAUAUUUAUAGCCACACUAAUCAAGUCAAUGUGGCAGUGCAACAUUAACUAAAGUGUCCACAUUUUCCAUGGAAGAAGAAAUAUAGGGAGUAUAUCAGUAAACAUAAACAUUUUAUCUAUAAUUUCAGGUUUCUUUUCACCAAAAGGUCAAGCGGUUUGAGUUGUCCAAGAUCCUGGAAAGAAUACAAUUCAUGAAGCCCUGCUACUCAAUUGGCAACCAUCAUAAAUAAACACUGAUCUCCCUUCAUGCUAAAUCUAGAACAUCCCAAUCUAGUGAAACCCAAGGAAAAUCCAAUAACUUUCUUGAUUCCAGCCCAUAAACAUUCACACACGACUGGGCAUCAAAGCUACAUGACAAGUUACUGUUUUGAGCUUCAAGUAGUCAUUCACUUCUCGAUAACAACAACAAUAAUUAUCAAUCACAAUGGACCAUUAACAAAAUUAUGCUUCCUUAGCGCCUGGGAGGGUAUCUUUGUCUUUGCCCAAGAAGUUGCAAUCUUUUUUAAAGAAACAGAGCACAUCCCAUAUCAAUUGUUUCAAAAAUCAGUAUUUGAUGGCAUCCACCAGUACUUUUAGAAGGGAAAAAGAGAAACUAGCAAUACUAACAAAAUUGAUAUGCUGUGGAGCAAACCACUUAUCCAGCAGCAUGCUACAAGACACAGCAUUACCAACAAAUUUUAAGCAGCUAAUGAUGCAUUACUUUGACUAAAAUUAGUCGUCGGAUCUGACUGUCAACGGAACUGUCCACAAGAAAACAUCAACGAAGCAAAGUUGGCAAGUACGAAGCGACAAAGUAGGGGAAAUCUUGCAAAAAGAAUAGAUUUUUGCUGCACCUUAGCCUUCGGGAUGACCUUGACCGCCACCUGCUGCCCGUUGCUCUCGCCCUUCUUGAGCUUGGCGGUGCACGUAUACCCAAAAUGCCCACGCCCAACCUCCUCACCGAUCUCAUACUUGCUCGUGAACCCCUUAGAGAACCCGAAGCUCUUAUCCAGCCCGGCCACUGCACGCCCCUCCUCCCCCUCGUCCUCGGGAAUGGCCGCCUCGUUUGGCUUCACCGACCCAUGCCGCCGGGCGAGGAGGGCCCGGAUGUGCUUCGCCGGAGACGGCGGCGGGAACGGUCUCUUGAAGAACCUCCUCGGAGUGGCCGUAGCCGACCCACCACCUUCAGAGGCGACGGAGGGGGAUUUCUUGGAGAAGAGGCUGUGGGCAGGACUGGGGCUAUAGAAAGGGAAGAAAGGGGAGGUCCAGGGCUUAGAUGUCCUCUCCUCCGCAACCGUCACCCCCGGCUCCCCCUCACCUUCCUUCUUUGUCGACACUUCUUCCUUCUUCUUGGGCGUCGGAGACAACGAUGGGUCAUGGUUCUCCGGCGAAGCGAGCUUCCCGUAGCAAAUACCCAUCUUUUACUUCAGUCUUAGCUCGGAGAUCCAGGAAGAAGAGGAAAAGAGGAACGAUUUUCAAACCCUAGAUCGCCAAUGGCGUCCUCAUAACUCUCACACACACACACACUCUCUCUCUCUCUCUCCCUCGGAGGUUUGCUUCUCUGCCUUUUGUAUCGCUCCCUACUUGGAGCCCAGCAGUAAAGCUGGAUAGGUUACUGUAAAAUUGUGGUAACGAAUGGGUGUUUAAGGAAAGAAAUAAUAAGGUUCCAACACCGCCGGUGAACAACUUGUGCCCAUACAAAUGCAACUCCCUGUGGUCUUACGCUACUCAAAACUAUGGACAUUAGUGUGUCUAUCAAUGUGCCUUUUUAUGAACUACAAAAUAGACAUUUGGGCAUGACAUAGUUUUCAUGUCAUGCAUUCUCCAAAACAAAAGAGCUUCCGCUACAUCAUGCGUGCCAUCAUGGAGAACGUGAUGGCCAUAAAGGAGCAUGACAUGUACCGUAUACGUAGAGAUGCUGGUGGCACAUAGGAUCCCAUCAUGUGUAAAUACUUACGCAGUUACGCUCACCUCCUCGCCGCAGGUGACCGGAUCUCUUUCUAAGUAAAAGCUGGUACCCGUUAAAAGUACGAAAACAACAGCAGGAAUGCUUUCCGCACCCCGUAAAAAUCUACCCGCGCGAUCUCUCUGUGAUGUGGGUCCAAAACGGACCGACGUUUGCGUUAAUCACCAGAACGGCUAUCGAUACGGGUAGAGAAAAAGGGUCGAAAAAGAAUUCCUCGAACGACGCUGCGUAGCGGGGAUCGCGUCCACGGAGGGCCGAAACAGACGACGGCGCAGUAAUCGGAGACGUCGACACGCGUGACUGUUCACCAGCAUGUUUUCGAUGCUCCCCCUUCACAAACUGUCGUCCGGAUAAGCUAUUGGGUGAACGAGGGUGGAGAAACGUGGCCGCAUAAGAGUGGUGGUUUACUAAAAGGAUCUGUUUAGUUAAGGAGUUCCGCCGGAGCGUCGUGUCUUUGUAGCCGUAGCGGUGGUUAAGCGAAUUAAAUUCUUUUCAGCUCGUUGGAUUUUGUAGCCGGCGCGCACGUAUUUAUAGAGAGCGGUAUGCUCUUCCGCCGGACCAUUAUAAAGUUCCCUAGUAACAAUAUUUUCCACUGCUUUUGGGGGCAAAUUUUUGUAUGUUUUUCCUCCAAAUUUAAUUAUUGUUUUGAAUAUGUGAAGAAACUUUGGGAUUUGAAUCCUUCUACCAAAUGGGGCAAAAGAGUUCAAAAGAUUCAUGGUACCACAAGGGUUGACAUAUUCUGAUGUUGAGGGUACCACAUAAUUAAGUAGUGGGUGGUAAGAAUGAUAAAGAGUUUGGGUCUUUCACAAGAGUGGAAGUGAGUGCAUUUAAUAAUGGAGAGGGGAGACUACUGUGGGAAUAUUACAGCACAAGGGGGAAGGUGGUGUGGAGUUCCACUAGCAGUUGGGUGAUUCAAUACUUCUGGUCCAUCGUCAAUUUGGCAUUUCUCUGUCACUGUGAUGUAGAUGUUGUUUUCUAAGGUGAUCAUGUGCAGGUCGAGGACAGUUCAUGGGCAAUAAUGUAAGGGAGUGGUUUGUUCUCUUCCUUGAGGACCAUCUUGUCUGCUACUGUCCAAAGUGAGUUAUGAGAUCUGAGAUGAUUAACGAGGGGAUAAGUUGGAGUUUGAUAUCUGAUUUCUUCAUUUAGGUGGUUGGGGAGGAUUCUAUUCUGAGAUCUGUCAGCCAACACACCACAAGGAUAUGGUUUGAUUAUAAAAACAAGGUUUGGUGAUCGAAGUUGUCAGUCAAUGAUCUUCCAUUCCUUUUGUUUUUUUUGUUCUUGCACAAGUGUUUCUACAAAUCAGACUUGUAAGACAAUAAAUCAUGAUUCUGAGCUUCAAAAGCAUCAGCUCACCAUCUGUUCUAGGAUUUCUGAACAAACUAAAUGCCUCUCUCUCAACAUCUGUAUGAGAAAGAACUUGAUCUUACUGAUUAAAGUUCUGAGUGAUUGUGAACAGUUCAUUUGUUAUGGAAGCAAAAAGAAUGUGAAUUGGUGGAUCGAAGAAGGUGAUUAAAGGGCUCCAAAUUAAAAAUGCUUUUUUGAUCUCUCUCUCUCUCUCUCUCUCAUGGAUAUCAGAAUGUUAAUUGCAGAAUAGUGCACACAUAGUUACAUCAUCUCUAUUGCAGAAUUCUAAUGAGUUUGGAGUUGAGCUGAAACUUUCAGAACUAAUUCUAUUUGAGAAUCUUGGUCGGAGAAGACCUUAAUUUAAUCCGGGAUGCGAUAAAAAGGCUUAGGCAAUCUAUCACUGCUGCUUACGACCUGAGGAAGAAGUGCAGUUGACAAAGAUGAUGAAGGCAGAAGACUGGGGAUCAUUCUCUGGGGGGAGAGAAGCAGCAGAUCUCUGCACGCAACACUCCUUUUCAGAGCAAUGAUCAAGUCGGUGUUACUUGAUGGCAUCCACGGGUUGACUUCUCAACUAGGCUUGGCAAUCGAUGGACAUCAUGAUCAAAGCUCCAGUACUUGUUGACCAAUGCAUCUGAAUUGACCAGAAAGUCAACUUGAUGAACCUGAAACACAGCAAUGGUGGCACUCUAAUCAUAUAUGAACAUCACUUCUUGAUGGCUACUACUCCGAUAAAUUUAGAGGCUAGCCAGUUCAGUGAAUGAUGAAUCUGCACAGUCGAUAGGGAGGAUGAAUCAGUUCUCUAUCAGAGGAAAAAGAAGUCAACCAAGCAAUCAUCGUAGCAACAUCCAACAUGGGUGAUUUCAAACGCGGCUCAGCUUCCUUUGAAUCCAAAAAGGUAGUCAAAGGAUGUGGAGGAAUAUGUAGGAUGGCUGGGAGGCAAUUGCUGGUGAUUCCCUCACUCGCCACCACCGAGACAAUGGAGCAGAGCUUGAUGAUGAGUGCUGUUGGGUGGGUUCUCCACUGCAAAUUCUGUGAUCAUUAUGCUGUAAGCUUGUCUCAUAGAGCAGUGUUACGAGACCAAGCAAUCAUUUCAUCUGAUUCCUGAAGGCAAUUCUGGAGAGAUGAUCACAGGACAAAUGCUCAUCCCUUUUUCUCCCGGGAGUACAACUACUCAGUCCAUGAUUUCGGCAAGUCUUUGACUGAUGGAUUUGAUAUUUGUUUCUAGCUAAAAAGGCUUUCUUGGCCCCAUACACUGUAUAAUUAAGGCUAACAAGUGUUUCUAUGUCUCUGUCUUUUGUUGUGGAUCUAUGAAGUCACAAUCAACUACAAUAGGAUCUUUAGUUCAUGAGUUCAUUCAUUUUCAUACUUUCGAGAAAAAAAAAUCAUGAGUUUCUUCCAUUCAAUCUUUUUGGAUAAAUUUCUUGUAUAUAUAAAAUAUAAAUUUAUUGAAACAUCCUAAUUGUUAAAAUUAAAUUAUAAAAUAUAAUUAUUAAUUUUAAUAAUUUAGAUCAAAUAAAAUUAAAAUAUUUUGAUAUUAGUUAGUCUAUCAAAUUAAAAUAAUGAUAUUUGAUAUUAGAGCCGUCAAAUUAUACCUCAUAUGUAUUAUGUUAAAGCUCGAUAAUAUUUUGAUUAAUGACUUAACUCAAAUAAAGCUAUAUAUAACUAGAAGAUUAAUAACAAUAGAUGUAACAAUGUAAUAGAUUUUGGGAUCAAAAAUAGAUUUUGGGAUACUCUCUUUCCCCCACACUGUUUAGAAAUCCUUUACCUCAGAAUACUUAUCUGUUUUAUAUAAUAUUAGGAUCAAUAAGUGUUUUUUUUUGUUUUAUUAUUGUCUGUAAUGUUUUCAACAAAAGCAAAUAAAAUUCAAGUAUAAAAAGACUUCUACCUAAAAAAAAGGAAAAUCUUAAAUAUUAAAUUUUAAUUAUUUUAUAAAUAUAUCAUUUAUCUCUAAAUAUUGAUGAGAAAGAUAUUGGAAUAUUAAUUAGAGAGGAUAAAAAUAAUAUAAAAAUAAUUAAUUCGGAUUUACCUUGUUUUAAGUUUUAAAUUUAUCUUUUUCCAAAGAUAGUGAGGAAGAAGCAACCAUCAUAUUCCGAAGAACUAGAAAUUUCAUACCCGACCCGCAAAUCGAAUACCCGAUCCACGAAGAAAAGCACACAAGGUGACAAGUGACGUCGGGAGUCGGAACGUUGGAAGUCCCGUCGCAGAAGGAUCAGAUGGUGAUCGUCGUCCACGAAAUGAUGUCAAUAGUUACUCCUCGUGACCGGUGAAUUCGAUUCUACGGUCCAACCAGCGGGGCCCGUCGAUCAUUUAUGACGUGGCAUCUUUUGAGAUGGUCAAGUAUUUCCAUUAUACAGUAGAUUCAACACCCGAUCCGUCGGGUUUAAAAAGACAAAAUAGACCCUAACAAAUUGGCUUCUCGCCGUAAAGCUCUAUAGCGCCGGUCCUGUGUUCGGCAGUUCAGCACCACCACCACCGCCACCGGAGAUCGCUUGGAGUUCGCAAAUGGGCAUCGACGGCCACGGCGGCGGAAGAGGAGGAAGCGGUUCGCGGUGGCUAGAGAUCGCCGAGAGGCUUCUCGGUGCUCGGGACCUCGUCGGUAGCAAGCGGUUCGCGGAGCGCGCCAUGGAGGCGGAGCCCCUCCUCGACGGCGUCGAUCAGGUCCUCGCCGUCGCCGACGUUCUCCUGGCCGGCCAGCGCCGCAUCAACAACCACGUCGACUGGUACGCCGUCCUCCAGCUCCUGCCCCCCUCUGCCUCCUCCGAUGGCUCCGAUGCCGCGGACAUCAGGCGUCAGUACCGCCGCCUUGCUCUCCUUCUCCACCACGACCGCAACAGGUCUCCUGGCGCCGACGCCGCGUUCAGACUCGUAGCCGACGCCUUCGCCGUCCUCUCCAACCCUGACAAGAAGAGCCUCUUCGACGCCGAGAUUCGCAUUGCUGCCGCUGCCGCCGCCGCAGCCGCCUCCAAGCCUUCCCCCUCUCCGUCCCCAGUCACCGCUGAACCCUUCUGGACGAAAUGCCCCACCUGCUGCAACGUGCACAUGUUCGCCGGGGAGUACCUGAACCUCUCCCUUCGCUGCUCCACUUGCCGCCAGCCGUUUCUCGCCACCGAGUUAUCUUCCCCGCCCCCUGUCGUCCCUGGGACCGACAUGUACUACUGCUCCUGGGGUUUCUUCCCUCUGGGGUUCCCUGGAGGUCCGUGCUUCUACGGCGGUGGUGGCAUUGCUCCUUCCGAUCUUGAUAGCGAAUGGAAACCGUUCUACCCGAUGUUUCCCAACUGGGGUAACAACACCAACCCGCAGCCGCCCCAUCAGCAGCCGGGAGCAUCCAUGCAUCCGCCGGACCGGCAGCGGGAUUGGCAGAACAAUGGGAAGAAGGAAAAUAUUAAUGAGCCACAGUGGGCGAUGCCAGCCAUGAACAAGAAGACUAUGGCAGAGAAGAAGGUCGAGGUAGGCCUAAAGAAGAGACCUUUGGGUGGUAGGAACAGUGGAAAGGGGACGGGAAGCAGUGGGAUAAGUAUCUCUGGUCCUGUGGCACGGUUAGGAAGUGGAAUGAAGCCUAUUAAUCUUGAAGCAGUAGACGUAAAAGAAGCAGAAGAGGAGGAAGAGGUUGUUAGAGGAAUCAAUAUCAACGAAGAAUACAAGAGCUUAGAUGGCGUCCAUGAAGAUUCUAAUGACUCAUUGAGCUUUCAUAUAGAUGUGGAUGCUACUAAUGACAUUCUGGGCAAUCUGCACAACCUUCCAUUCCUAAAGGAAGAUGAUAUUCCGUUGCGGACGCCAUAGUGUUGUAAUUGUUGUUACAUGAGAAGGAUGAAGAAAGUAUUGUGCAGCCAUUAACAUAUCAAUGUGGGUUUAGCACUGUUGUAGUGGAGACUGAUCCUUAACUAUCUUUCAGACUGUAUGUUUUGCUAGUAUGUAAUUUCCUUCUCUCAUGUUACUGGAUCAUGAUGGUAGUUUUGCGAUACUUUUUAACUUGUAUGGAUUUCUCGUGAAGUCUUGAAAUCAGGCUUUACUGCUUAGCUGGGCCAGAGAAAUUAAUUAUCCAUGAUGUUUCAGCACUGAGGAGGCUCCAUGUAAGAGACCCAGCUCAUGUUGACAACCUCAGCUGGUAACCAGUGUAAUGAGAUGGGGAAUCAAUGUGAGUAUCAUUUAUGGUCCAAUCACUAUCUAAAAGUUUGUGUUUGGAAAUCUAUGUUUUCUUCUUGAUGACCAUAGUGGUUCCUUAUAACUGUCUGUCGACUCGUAGCUUUGUAGCUAACACAUUUGACAUACUGAUCACUGGUAUACAUUGUUUUGUUUGGGCAUAAACACCACUUCAUCAAGAUGGAAAUUGUUAUGAAGGUUAGUACUUUAUCCUAUUAUCAGGUAGGUUUCGGGUUAUGAUCAACAUGUAAGAGAUCCAGCUCAUGUUGACAACCUCAGCUGGUAACCAGUGUAAUGAGAUGGGGAAUCAAUGUGAGUAUCAUUUAUGGUCCAAUCACUAUCUAAAAGUUUGUGUUUGGAAAUCUAUGUUUUCUUCUCGAUGACCAUAGUGGUUCCUUAUAACUGUCUGUCGACUCAUAGCUUUGUAGCUAACACAUUUGACAUACUGAUCACUGGUAUACAUUGUUUUGUUUGGGCAUAAACACCACUUCAUCAAGAUGGAAAUUGUUAUGAAGGUUAGUACUCUAUCCUAUUACCAGGUAGGUUUCGGGUUAUGAUCAACUGAAUGUCUUCUACUGUUGCUUCGACAAUAAAUUUGAUUCCAAGUGUUUUCUGUUCUUCCUUGUGCUUGGAUCAUAGUAGGAACUUGGAAGCAUUCUUGAAUAUACUCUGUGUUUAAUUGUCAAUUUUCUGACAUUAUCAAAAUUGGCUUUUAGGAGGCCUCCUGCCAAUAUACACGGGAAUCAUUGUGUGUAAGUUGUCGCCAAAACUUCUGCACAAUUUGGAUGCACCAGCUCAUAUAGAGAUGAAGAUGAUGCAUCUCAUGGAGCUAUUUCUAGCAUAUUUAUAGUAGACUAGGGGACUAACUUUACAGAUUUGAACAGAAGGCUUUAUGAAAAUUUCUUGUCAGGAUCAUGAAACAUAAUAAGUAAAUCAUGUGCUUCUUGUUGUUAAUUUUAUGCAGUUCAACUUAUCAUGUUUGCCGGUGUAGACAUGUAAUUGACUAGCUUUUAGAAACAAGGCUCUGCUCCAACUCCCCGUUUAUGAUAAAGUGGUUCUGCAGUGUUGUAUUGCCUUAUUUAAUGGGUCUAUCAUGAAAGAAAAAGAGGGAAAAAAAAAAGUGAAGAUAGAUAUGUGGAAGUUUUAGCUUAUGGUUUAGUAUUUCUUUGGUCUAUAGACAAUUAAAUUCAUGUAAAGCUUUAUUUUUAGAAAUUUCGACAAUAAAUCUGGAUUCAAAUAAACGAUUAUGGUUUACAUUAUAGUCUGGCACGGGAGUGUCUAAUUUGCUACAAUUUGUUCAUAUGGAUCAUGCUGAUAAUACGAUAUUUUUUUCAACCAACAAUAUUGCCUCAUAAUCUUCAACUCAGCCUACUCAGAUAAGACAGCUCAUCAGCAUAUUUCCUACACAAAGGUAAAAUUGUAUCAUGGUACUUUUCUUCAUGGCUAAGGAAUACAUUGAUGGAGUUGGUUGGCAGUUAUAAAACACUUAAUUUCGAAAUUCCCUAUGCAUGAAGGGUUGUUUCACGCAUUAGUAUUUAUUUUGGUGUUUAAGGCUUAAGAAGGACUUUAGAAAACUGAUGAUAUUGGCAGAAGCUCUCUUGGAGUGCUUUUUUGAACUCUGUAUCUCUUGGAUGCGUCCUUGAGUGGUGAGUAUUUUGCUUUCAGUUCUAUAUCAUUGUUUAUUAUCAUUAGGGUGGUGAUCUUUCCGUAUCCCUUUUGAUUUUAAACUUGAUGAUGAGCUAUUUUUCGUUUUUAUCAAAGUUUCUUCAAGAGUUCGUUCCUUACCUUCUGUGAUAUUUUCUAUCUGAACAAUUGUUCUAUCGGUGUUCUUUCGAAAUCCAUUCUGUAUUUUUAUCCUCCCGGUAUCAUAGUCUCUAAGAUAAUUAAUGGAAUAAUUAAUUGAGAAAGCAGUGGUAAUAUUGGUCCUGCAACUUUUGGUUAAAUUUAGUGCGACUAGAUGCAUGAGCAGCAAACUUUUCAAGAUCCCAAGAUCCAUAAUGAGAGAUUCAUGGUCUGAAUGGUUGUGCAAAGGGAGAUGUAAAAUGGUAGCUUACAUGGAUAUUACUUGCCCAAUUUUAAUCAUAUGGAUGAGCCUUCUUUUCCUCAAAAAUUUGGAAUCUUUUAGAGAUCUGAUGGAUUCAAUUGCAUACUUUCUGAAGGCACUCUUUACAUCUCCCUUUGCACCACCAUUUCUGAAGACACUCUUUCUAAGAUGGUAGCUUGCAUGGAUCUUACUUGCUCAAUUUUAAUCAUAUAGAUGAGCCUUCUUUUCCUAAAAAAUCUGGAAUCUUUUAGAGAUCUGAUGGAUUCAAUUGCAUACCUUCUGAAGAUACUCUUUUGCUGCAUAUCAUAGUGAAAGGAAUUUUGAUACAGCAAGCAUUACUUCUUGGGGUAUUUACUUUGUUCCUUCAGAUUUUGGACUGUCAGGAAGAAGUUUACUUGAGUAUUCACUGUAGUUUUUUACUUAGUUCCUAAUACUGUAUAUUGUAAAGUAUAGAAUCAGUCUCUACUACUACUAAUUGUCAGAAAUCAAAGAGGCAGAGCCUCCAUCAUACAAACAGUACUGCUCUCUGUUCUUGUCCCCAACCCUGUCAUCCACAACACCAUCUACCUUUCCAACUUGCAGCUUCAGAGGAAUGCAUUGAGUAUAUAUUCUCCAACUUCUCUAUCUUCUUGAAUCUUAGAUUGGACAUUAAGAGAUUUAAGUUGUAAUUAUGAUAAAUCCGUUGCAAUCAAUGCAGAUACAUGCUGGUGACUUGAAGCAUAUCAUUAGCGUUUACUGUCACUAUAUAUUAGCCAAAGUGAUCUGUUUAAUUACCCUUAGUUUCGAGCUUAUAAAGUGGAGGCAUAAGAUCUUUUGGUGUUUAACGGUGUCAUUAGAUAAAGCUUUGUCCAUGUGGAACCGGGGGGUCCACGUGGGGCCAUCCCUUACCCCACCGCUCUGCGUGGACCCACUGUUUUGAGACCCAUCUUUCCGUAAAAUAUACAAGCUCGGGUUCGGAUCUAGAUCGGUCUCCCACCCGUGCGGACUUACCCGUUAGGUUAUUUUAUGUGGUGGACUUUUCGUGGUCCAGCGAUCGGCCGAGUCGAAGUCGAGGCGAGGCGAGAAGAAGCGCGAACACCGAGAUCUGUGGUUCGCAGAGGGAGGAAGCGAAGGCGAAGGUGAGACUCUAGGGUUUCGUCGAUCGUUCGAACGUUAUGUUUCAUCAUCUGCUUUUGCAACCUCAGAUCGAUUUGAUUUCAUAACAAUCGAUAAUAGGAUGCUUCUUUUCGCGGGAUCGCUUAUUUUUGUGAUUUCUUUUGAUCUGUUUUCUAGAUGCAUCGUUAUACAUAUAUGAUGUUUUGAUCUGCGUGAAACCCCCAUGUUCUGCCGCUCGCACCUCGAUAUCGGUGGUGAUCUGUUGAUCUAGCCGUAAAUGUGAUGGAAUUAGGUCGCCCCUGCCGAUCCCAGCCUAGAUCGGCUGGAUUGUUAGGGGAUCAAACUGAAUGGUGUGCCUGUAACGAGUACUACUAGUUGUUGAAUACUGCUGGAUUAGUGUCAGAUACUUUGUUCAAGUAAUUUGUGGUAACAGCUAAUCCAAUGUUUGUUGGGCAUUGUACAUAUUGAAGGGUAAAUCUUUUUAUAUGGACCAUAUUGUUUACUAUUGUAUGGAGAAUAACAUUGUUGUGAAUAUAUAUCUACUAACACAUUUCAUCUUUUCGCUUGAUUUACAUAAAUAUCCGUAAGAUUAGAUAUCCAUAUCAUGUAAUAUUAAUAUCCCAUGUCGGUAUCUCCAUGGUUGCUCAUCCAUGUGGGUAUUUUUCUAUGUUCUUCAUCCUAUGAAAAGAUCUACAAGCAGCAAAGUUUGGAAAGCAAGAUAAUGUCUUCAAAUAGGGAAUACUAGAACUUAUGAUGAACUUAUUUUUUGUGUUAAUCAGUGUAUUCAUAUUGAUCAUUAUAUUUAGAACAGAAGUGCUGGUUAAUCAAAACUAAAAACCCUUUUUUUGACUGUAUUUUAUGCUUAAUUUUCUUUUAUUAUAUGUAUUAUGUUUAAUUCUAGCAAGUUAAGUGAAUGACUGGGUGAUUGUUAUGAAACAUAAGAAACCAUUCUAAACCUCAGGAUCAAAAUGUUAUCUUUAGGAGCAGUAGACCUUAGGCAUGAAGUGAAACUUUGGUUCCACGGAAUUCCGCACAAGGGCAAUUGUGGAUCGCAUUCUUGAAAACCUCAUGAAUGAUACCUUGAUUGAAAAAUUAUGUUGUGGAAAGAUAGGCGCCUAACAAUUGAGGGUGUGUCAGUGAGAUGAAGCUAAUGCAGCUGAUAAUAUUUUUUAUUGCUCAAAGUAAAUUACAGAUGGCUGCCUGUUGCACUCCUUAUAAAAUAAUUUGACUCUCAGUAGAAUUUCCAUAUAUCAUAUCUAUGGGUAAUGUAGCAAUGUAGCUAAAAUUCUCUUUUACCUUCUCCAGGCAUGUUCAGAUUUAGUUCUUCAACAAAAUCAAAUUUAGAUUAUAAUACUUGCACCUUCUUGGUUUUGUCAGCCGACAACGUUUGGGUUAACCGAGGUAGAGCCACACAGGGGACUGUGGUCAUUCUAAAAGUCUUUCCAAUCACUGCUUAACCUAACAAAUGCAGGAUUAAAGAUUGUCUUAUUUCACUAAACCUGGCUCAUAUACUGAAAAGGAAGGAAGAGGUUAUAAACUUGACUCAAGUAGCACAAUAACAAAAACCACUAAACAUAGUGGACCAAAAAAAUUAUCUAUUUGGUCUCAGUUAUGGGCCUUGCUUCUUGUUGAACCAGAUUUGGGUGGAAUAUACUCUGGAUAUUGUAAUCAGCAUUCAUAAGGCUAAUUGUAAUUUAAUCUCGUUAAAUUCUUCAUGAAAUUGGUCCAACAUUUUUAUGCAGAUUUCAACUUAGAAACAUGGGUUUGCAUGAGAUCAAUAGUGCCCUUAGGAAAGCUGUUACUAAAUUGGGCUCAUAGCUGUUUUAUCUCUCCUCUGAUGCUUUUAUUCAACGAUUUGUGUUCGUACAAAAAUGUUUACAAUGUUUAGUAUGCCAAAUUCAGUUAGGCUUUUGGUUCAGAAUCUUCUUUGAAACAAAGAGAACUAAAGUAAUUGUAUCAAUAUUUUUAUUAAGAAAUUAAUGUUGCAUCAUAGAGAAUUGACCUUUGUGCAGUGACCAUGUUGCUUCAUAUCUCCUAAACUCAUAGGUCUGAAUCAAGAGAGGAAUUUCUGCUUUUGGGCGUGUGCAUGUCAUUUCACUGGGUUGCCUUUGUAUUUUUUUUGGCAUUUUCUGUCCCUGAAGUAGAACAUUCUGACUCACCAUGCCAUGGAGCAGGUUAAACAAGAUAUACAUAAACAAUAAUCAAGCUGGAUUUUCUGCAAUUUGUCUUCCAUUUCUGUGUGGAAUUCACAUUAGUUGCUUAAACAUGUACAUGUACAGAUACUGUUUGAUCUUUAUUACUGUGACUGGUAUAGGUUUAUUUUAAACAUUAGUAGACAGAACUUCUACUCCUGCCUUGAUCGAUUGUUUUGACCAAGCUAUCUAAUUCACAUUAAGGGAACUGCAAAAAAGAUAAGAAAAGGUAGCAUGACGUUGCAUCGGUCAUCACAUCGAUGGAAAAAAUGCUAUAUCUGCUUGAUUUUAAACCAAGCAUCCUUUCUGGAGAUGCAGAUGGGAACAAAGCAACUUUUGUGGAUUUAUGUUCAAAUCUUUUGAUUUUGGUCUCAAUGGCAGACUAAUAAAGUCAAUGCAUAUGAUUGUGGUCAAAACUUGUUUAUUGUGUCAUAACUUUCUCUAAUUUUGUUCACCGAAGAAAAAAAUAAUUUGAUGUUCAUAUCAUGCUUACCAACUGGGUAUAGAUUUGACCUUUGUGUUUGCUUUUUCUUGCAGAUGAUCGACGAUCAAGACUUGGGAUUCUUUGCUAAUUUUCUUGGCAUAUUUAUCUUCAUUUUGGUAAUUGCUUAUCAUUAUGUGAUGGCAGACCCAAAGUACGAAGGUAACUAAUGCUUGAGAUAGUGGCUUUGUGGGCAGGAAAUAUGACUUUUAUGGAUCAUGCCUGAAUGAGUCUUCAUGGUUUCUAUUGCUACUCGGGUAUAUAGAAGAACUUUUAUGCCAGAAACUUGUAAGAACUAUACAAUUGCUUCACAAAUGAGAAACUUUCAGCUUUGAACUUCAUCAUUGCCCCUUUUGAUGAAUAUAUAGCAUGACCCGAAAUAAUUGAUCAUUUUGCUCGAUUGAUUUAGGCAAAUCUUUCUUCACCUAUUAUUGCUCCAUGUGCUUCAUGAUCUACAACACCCAACCAUUCUACUGGUGCAGGACUCGUUGGACAAGGUACCAAUUAAGCCUGGUUUGUUGACCCCAAUCCGAUCACUUAGCAUACCCAUGGUUUUUGUCUAUCUGGUGGUAAUACAUGAUCAUGAAUGCAUCUUUCUUUAUAUUGAUUAGGUUACAGCACCAAGUUUCAAAAUAAGAAUCAGCAUUUGAUGGCCUGUUUUUGGGCAUCAAUUAUUCAUUCUUCUUUUAAGGCCACUUAUCCAAGAUUUCUUGCUGAUUGAUUGUGGAGGCCAAGAACAUUAGCUUUCAUCGCAUUAGUGUCUAAUUACCCAUAUAGAAGGACAUUACUGGUAGAAUAGGAAUCUUAUCGCUACGGAGAAAAGCCGAGUAACUCAAACAAAAGUAGAUAGUAAUGCCAUGAAUCCUCAUACCAUUUUAUACACACGGAUACAUACAUCUGUACGUACAGACACAAAGUCAGCUUAAAGGAUAGCGCAAUGUAGAAGACGAAGAGGAGACUUCUUCCGCGCCUCCCUCCCGACAGAUUUCAAAUUAUUUAAAUCCCUUUCACGCGCACCAACCUCCCCAAUUCAGACCCUUCAGUUCGUUCCAUCCAUAUAUAAUCACUGUCACAAGACAUACUCCUUCCCCUCCAACACAACCACUCCGCAACCCUUCCCUUCCCUUCCGCUCCCUCUCACUCUGUCCUCUUCUCUCCUCUCUUUCUCUUUUCUUCUCUUCAUCUUGUUUUAGAAGCUCCACCACUGGUGAACUGCCACGCCCGCGUCCCUCAGCUUCCCGUAGAGGGCGAGGCACUGCCAGUAAGCCCGCUGCCCGCCCCUCGUCGCCCUCUUCUUCACCUUCUCCCUCAUCUCAUCGGCCUCCCACGACUGGUGAUCGCACUCCAGGAAGAGCUCGUCCACCAGCCCGAUCGCCCCCUCCGCCAUCGCCUCCUCCACAGCCGUCGCCUCCGCCUUCACCACCACGUACUCCUCCUCCUUCACGUUCCUUUCAAGCCACUCCGCCAGCGAUGCCGUCGCCCCCUCCUCCGCCUUCACGGCCUCAUCUUCGUCGUCUUUCAUCUCCAGUCGGAUGACGUCGAAGGCCCGGCCCUUUCUUGGGUAGUUCCGCUUGAACCACGACUCACCGCUGCCCGCCUCUCCCGCCGCUACCAUUUCCACGAAUACCCGCCGUGGGUACCCAUCCAGCUCGUCCCCCGUAAGCUCCGGCAAGUAUCUCGCCCUUCGCUGCCGCCCAUGUUGCCCCGGUCUCGGCGGCUCCAACAGCGCAUCUUCCAGCCCUCUCAGCGCUUUCUUCUUCGCCUCCGGCAGCGAUAGCAGCCGCCGCAUUUUCAGCCCUUCACCACUCGCGGAGGACUUCCUCAUCGCCACCAUGGUGGCGGAACCAAUCCAGCCGACGUAAGCCAUGCGGUAGUUCGCCGGCGGGAUGAAGGAAUCCGAUGAAUCAGGGCUCAAUCUGACAGCCGCGACGCCGCCGAUCUUGAGGAUCCGAUCGAUUUGUUCGAAAUCGCCCGUAGAGGCUCCGAAGACAAAGUCAGCGGAGCCGUCCGGAACCUCGAUCCCUCGAUCGCCAGCGAUCGGAUCGUUCAGAAGGACGGCGUUGUCCUCGGGGCGAAGCAGGCCACGGCGCCUCAGAUCGCCGAGGAGACUAGGGAGGAAGGUAGCGUCGCUGUCGAGGGCCCGCUGGCCUACCGCGACCCCACCAACGUCGCCGAGGCGGAGGAUGGCGGCUCGGAGCCAGGUGAAGGAGAAGACGGCGGCGGCAAGAAGCACCGAUCGGGCGACCAGGCGGAGAAGGCGGGGCUCCGGCAGGCGGAUCACGAGGCGGUCGCCUCCGAUUUCGAUGGCGCCGCCGAGUUCGAGGCGUCGGAUACCGCUCGGCUUCUUCAUCGGAGACCUUUCCGUUUUGAGGGUUACGGGAUUCCACUUCCCGAGAAAUGGGCUGCAAGGAGCUAGAGAGAGGAGAGAGACAGAGAGAGAGAGAAGGGCAGGGGUGGGUUAGCGGGUGCAGAAGCGGGCAGCGGUGUGGUUACCACCCACAAGAGCAACACGCGUGCUUUGAGAUCGGAGGCAGAGGAGCAAUAGGUUCUUGGAGCGUAGCGAUUCCAUCAUGCGUUUGUGCCGUUCAAACAGAUGGACGGUGGAGAUGCCAGCGAUCAGCUCAACGUCUCGGCCUCCCCGGUGGACCAAACCCAGAAGGUAAUGUUUUCCAACCCAAAACCCUUCGAAUCUUAAGAAUUGCUCAUGCAAGUAAUUGGGAGCUUCCGAGGGGAUGAGAGAAUGCAGAACGAUGGAAGAGGGCGGAGAUAGAGUGGUAUGAGAGAUGCAUGCGUUCUUUAAUAUAGUGGAACGAAGAUAAUAUAUUAGUUUCGUUGGUAUAAUAUAUUAUUUUUAGAAGAUUGUUGUUAUGUACAUAUAAGAACAGUUUGGUUUUGGGAGAUUAUUUUUAGAAGGGUUUAAGGAUCGUUUGUUACGGUAAGCCUGUUAAGACAGGUUGGACAGUAACAAAUUAAUAGCGUCUAAUGCGUGUCUAAUUCGCUAAUCUUAUGAGAUCGGGUGACAACUAAUCAGUAAAAAUUAUAUAUAAAUAAUAUUAGUUCUUUUAUCAUAUAUAUAUAUAUAUAUAUAUAUAUAUAUAUAUAAACUUUUUAGAAGGUAAGUUUCGUAAUGACUUUUUACCUUUUCGAAAUAUUAGCUGAAAUAAUAUCAUAAAACAUAGUUAACAAACAUCGACAGUUGUUUAUAUAUCUUAAUAAUAUCUUAGCUCAUCAAUGUAAGAUUGCUACAUUGACGAGACAAUCUCAAUGGACUUUAUGCAUGUUCGAUUUGGGCUCUCUUGGCUUAAUAAGGUUCAAUGUUGGGUAGGGCCUAACCUAAGAAAGCCCAACCAAAUACUGAAUUGGAGUCGUCCAUCCACUUGAUGGGAAUUAAUCUACGAGGAUACUGAAUCCUAAUGGCAGUGGACAAGAUAGUUUAUUUCUGAAAUUUAUAGAAAAAAUGGACUAUAGAUUUUUGAACGUUAAGUUCAUGUUAUAUUAUUAUUAUUUUAACUUACGCUAUUGUGAUUAUUAAUUUCUUUUAGAAUUGAUGCUUUAAAAAACACUCCAAAAAAUGAUGAAGAGAAUGGAUAGAUAUGUUGCCCGUCAUGUGUGUGUUACAUGUCAUCGGAUUUGAAGUUUACGAUUUUGUUCUUUUGGAGCAUGUGAGUUUCAAAAAGUAUAAGGAUAAGAGAAACCUAACGGACAGUCAUUAGUUCCCAUAUUUCUUAACCAAUAUGAGAUUAAAUGAUCUUAUUAGUUGGAAUAGUAUAUCUUUUAAUAGUAUAUAUAAUAAAUAAAUUAUUUUAUGAGAUCGGGAAAUUUUUUCCAAUUGGAGACUUUUUGAUGGGUAAAAGGUGAGUUGGAUGUCUGUCGAAUUCGUUAUCAGUAAAGAUGGUGGCAAACAAUUGCAUCCAGUUCACAUGUUCAAAAUCUAACUUCAUAAAAGAACUCGUAUAAAUCAUAAAAGUAUUUUAAAGUUCGAUGGAGAAUUUGUUUAUAUUUGUUUAGGCUUAGGGAUGAGACCAAUUUUCCAGGUUGCGCCAGAAAACCUAUACGAUUCCUAGGGCAGUCUACCUGACUGUCCUACCUGCCAGGAGACUGGGAAUGGGGACGGUCUUCGGGACCCAUGUCUUGGGUAGUCCUAUCAAUACGCAGGGGUCUUGGUAGGAAAAGCAUGUUCAUCACUUCUGACCAAUAAUUAUUCCACGCCUUAAUUUUCACUCCUCAAACGUUACCUAUUACAGAAGUAACGUGGGUGGCACGUGCGGAGACGUGUGCGUGUAAGACUUCCCGGGGAAAAUUAUGUUUUCGAUAAUAAUGAUAAAUAAAACCAACCCCUGCGAUGAUGAGCAAAUUUAGGAGGGCAUAGAGACGUGAAAGACAUUAAUUCUCUCCCCAUUAAACUUUACUAGGGCAAGAUGGAGGCCGAGGCCACCUCUUCCACCGCUCCGGCGAGGCUGAGGCGCCCCCGCGUGCCGGCCACGGACGAGGACCAGGUCCGCGUGAAGCGGCGGGCCCUCGAGGUGGUACUCGAGAACUGCAAAAGAGCGAUGGAAUUGUUGGAGAACGCGGCCCCUGAUUGCGAUCCCAACGACGAGGGCGAAGCACGGGAGGCGGCGGUAGCGGCUGGUGAGGUGGAGGGAUCGCCACCGCGAUCUCAAUCUGCAGCAGAUCCCGAUGCCAAUGCCUAUGCCUAUGCCGAUGACGAUGAGGUACGGGUGGGACCUGUUCGGAUUCUUACUGACUUUUGAUUGGAUCCCGUUUAUAAAUCAUAGUUGUUGAGAUGGACGAUCGAAUAGGGGAAUGCUGGUGUAAUCUUAGCUGUUUAGAUUGUAAAUUUGGCACAAUGAUGGCGAAAUUUCUUUUUCAUUUUGUGUUGAAUGUCUAAUCACUUCUUUUUGUAUAUAGGAAUGAUGUCAGUUUAUUGUUCGUCAUCGUGCUUGCACUUACUGCUGCAGUGGGUUACCGUUCGUUAGAUUUGUGUGUCCACUGACGAAUAUAAAGUUGGGAUUCAUACAAAAUAACACUGGAGAAUUUGGAGCUUGUCGAUCAAAGUUCAUAAGUUCUAGGCAACUUUGCGAAUUUAACUGACUUGUUACGAGGGAAUCGUGCACAAGCAUGUUCAUCUUCUUUGUAUAUGGCCAAUCUAUUAAUUUUGAAAUGGGAUCAUUUCUAUAGUCCUGUCGAAGGCAUUACUUGAACUUUAAAAGGCAAGAGCACAAAAUCAGCUUUUAAUCUUCUGUGGUUCUUUGUUGAUGCUUGCUCUGCAACUUGGGAUGUUACAUAAACAUUAGAUAUCUUUUUUUUCCCCAAGAGAAAAACAUGAGAUAUCUUAGACCAUUUUGUUCUUUACAUGUCCUCGAUGCUCAUAUAUAAUGGUGACAGAAUGAUGUCACAGUCUGUUUACUUAUAGAGGUAGACUUUUUUAUAUAAUCUAAUUUGAUCCACAAAAGCUUGUGUUAUCUAGUUAGUUUCAUUUUAGAUGGGUAUUUGUAUAUCAGUUUGAUGCCAUGUUUGCAUGAUUACAUGCCUACACAUCAUUGAUCCUGUAUUUUGUUGGUUAAUUUGAUAAAUUCAACUCUUCAGUGGUUUGCAAAAUCACCCACCACGAAAAGUUACAUGAUUCCCUUUUCCGAUGCCG